rnacentral:rRNA from 1 species
CUGGGUCUAAUACCGGAUAUGACCUCUGGGUGCAUGCUUGGGGGUGGAAAGAUUUAUCGGUACAGGAUGGGCCCGCGGCCUAUCAGCUUGUUGGUGGGGUAAUGGCCUACCAAGGCGACGACGGGUAGCCGGCCUGAGAGGGCGACCGGCCACACUGGGACUGAGACACGGCCCAGACUCCUACGGGAGGCAGCAGUGGGGAAUAUUGCACAAUGGGCGAAAGCCUGAUGCAGCGACGCCGCGUGAGGGAUGACGGCCUUCGGGUUGUAAACCUCUUUCGACAGGGACGAAGCGCAAGUGACGGUACCUGUAGAAGAAGCACCGGCCAACUACGUGCCAGCAGCCGCGGUAAUACGUAGGGUGCGAGCGUUGUCCGGAAUUACUGGGCGUAAAGAGCUUGUAGGCGGUUUGUCGCGUCGUCCGUGAAAACUUGGGGCUCAACCCCAAGCUUGCGGGCGAUACGGGCAGACUUGAGUACUGCAGGGGAGCCUUGGGAAU